CUUUUCUGUUGCAUUUCUUUGGUCUGCAAGGGUCUUUGCGGCUUCACCUGAAACAACCACCAAAACAGAGCAAAGUUCUUUUAAAUCCUGUGGUUGGAUAAUGUCUGCCAAGAGUGACCUGUAUGUGAAUUUUGAAGGGCCCAGAGUCGCAGUGCCAGCAGCACGAGCAACUGGAUUGGUGGACAAGGAAGUUGAAGGUGCAGAAGGCCUGAUAUGGACUCCCUG
rnacentral:misc_RNA from 1 species